CCUACACCCAAAUUUGAUAAAUUUGGGUGGACGAAGGACAUCCAUUUGUUUGCCAGAAAACUGGCUCUUCAUAAAUACCACUGCAUUCAGAGAACUAAACAAGCAACCAGACUGGGCCUAGAACCUAGAGAUAUGAAUUUACUGGACAAUCUGGUAGAACUGCUGAAUAGUAAUGAUUCAUCCAAUACUCACUUAGCUCCAUUCACUGACCUAAAACAUAAAAGUAAGUUCACC